UGGGGAAUAUUGGACAAUGGGCGAAAGCCUGAUCCAGCCAUGCCGCGUGUGUGAAGAAGGUCUUCGGAUUGUAAAGCACUUUAAGUUGGGAGGAAGGGCAGUAAGCGAAUACCUUGCUGUUUUGACGUUACCGACAGAAUAAGCACCGGCUAACUCUGUGCCAGCAGCCGCGGUAAUACAGAGGGUGCAAGCGUUAAUCGGAAUUACUGGGCGUAAAGCGCGCGUAGGUGGUUCGUUAAGUUGAAUGUGAAAGCCCCGGGCUCAACCUGGGAACUGCAUCCAAAACUGGCGAGCUAGAGUAGGGCAGAGGGUGGUGGAAUUUCCUGUGUAGCGGUGAAAUGCGUAGAUAUAGGAAGGAACACCAGUGGCGAAGGCGACCACCUGGGCUCAUACUGACACUGGGGUGCGAAAGCGUGGGGAGCAAACAGG
rnacentral:rRNA from 1 species